AUAUAUAUAAAUAAAAUAUAUAUAUAUAUAUAUAUAAAUAAAAUAUAUAUAUAUAUAUAUACUUUGAACAUUUCAUAGCCAUAUUAUUCAGAAUUUUUAACAAGUCAAUCUUCUUUUUUCAACUUUUAUUGUUUAUUAUUUGGUGUUGUGAUCAAGCCAUUGAUAAAGAAGUCAUUUUUUUAUUGCACAAUUAUUGGCUGUGAAUUCAUCUUAUAAUUAAUGUCAUUGAUUUCUCUUUAUGCUUUAGCCAGUGGGUAGUUCACUCACUAAACAGUUAAGAGUAUAUGUUGCCAGGUAGUAUAAAAUAAAAUACGUAAAGGACCAAAAGCUAUCCAAGUUCAUUUUUGAUGCAAGAUUCAUGUAAGGUACAAGACAAACAAGUAGAUAUUGUGUGUCAAGUGUAGAAUGAACUUUAAUUAUUUCAUUACUACUAGGAGGAGGACUGUGAACAUUUUUUUUUCCUCAGUGUUGUCGAGGUCAUAUCAAAUAAAAGAGAAACACUUGUGUCCUUUCUCUGUUUUGAUUGAAUUUCUCACUAUUUUUACAUUUUUAUUUUGACUUUUUAAAAUUCAUUUGAUAAAAGUGAAAAAUGUUUUUGUUAAAAAAAUCAAUCAGCUUUAUGUUUAUUAAGUUGUGCUCCAGGGUCACUUUUGAGUAAAAGUAGUACUUUUAUUUAUGGAAUUGCAUUAAAGUUUUCUGUUAAAAUAUUUUUUAGAUUUGGUACAUAACCAAAAUGAUACUGAUAUAAAUAUAUUUGAUGUGUAAAAUGCUUAAUAGAAUAUUGAACAAUGUAUGUUUUAUUAUACUGUUGACAUUUGACUAAAUGACUGUCAUGUUGAUCCAGCAAUCAAAGAACCAGUACUCCAUCCUAUCAGCCACCUCCCAACUUAAUACAGGACUACAGUAAUGACUAUUUUAACUAUCACCUUAUUCCAUCUGGCCUCAUCUCUGGUGGUAGAAUACAAUUAGUCUAAUUAUGGCAAGGACUGUUCAAUGAUAAUUAACUAAAAAUAUUUAAAUGGUUCCAAUGUUGUCAUUGUUAAAUUUUGCAUUCACUUCUUUUUUUCAGAUAAAUAUUAGUUUCAUGAUUUCUAAGUCUUUUUUUCUACUGGAAACCUCUCCUAGGUUUAUUAAGGAUUUUAAUUCAGAGAUUUUAAAAAUAUAGUAUUGAUUCAAAUUGAUGUUUAUCUUGCUGAGGAUAAAACUAAUUUUCUAUUAUUGUUUAAAAUAAAAGUAGUGUGUGAAAAUUGGUUUACCCGUUCAGUCGUAUCAAAUAUAAAAUACUGUGAAAACAGGUUAACCCAAUUUGUUAAAAAGUUUAACAAGAGUUUAACAGAGAUAGCAUUAGGUACUUUUUGUCAAUUUUUAGGGCCCUCCAGUUGUGCCAUGAUCUAUGGAAGAAUUAUGCCAUGUUUUAUUAAGAUUGGUCUAGUGGUUUUGAUUUCUAUUCGGGACAUACAUAGAUAUGCCUUACUUUCUGCUUUAUAUAUAUAUAUAUAUAUAUAUAUCUCUCUCUCUAUAUAUAUAUAUUUAAAAGACUGUUGUUGAUGUCAGGGUAAGGUGUGUACUUGAUUUGAAUAUGACAGUAAGUCUUAAUGUUGCAUAUCAUGUUGACUAAUCACCUGGUCUGUGAUGUUUUCAUUAGAAUACGGGCACAUUUUUGUUGUCAUGAAAAUAAUUGUUUAAGCUAAACUGCCAGCACAUUUUGAUGAUUCUUUCAUCAGAAAAGUGUUAAGAUUAGUGCAAGGAAAGAAUAAGGGAGGGGUGGAAUGAUAACUUUAUCACAAGUGUGUGAAAUUCUUUUCAAUUAAAACCCACUAUUAUCUAAACUAGAUACAAAUAAAUGGAAGACAAAAAAAAAAAGUAUAGGACAAUUUAGAACAGAUAAAAAGUAUGUUAUGGAAUAACACUAAAACAUUUUUUUUUUAGUUAUUAGUUUAAAACUAGUUGAUCUUUAUAAAUUUUUUUAGAUGUCUUGAAAAAGAUUCUAGACUGAUUUUUGUGCAAAUGAAGAAAAAACAACAACUCUUAAACAUUCUGUGAGCUGUCUGCAAAAAAAUAAAAGAAAAAAGUUGUUCUUAUUUCUCUGUCAGCAUUCUAUAAGGUAAAUCAUUUUAGCCCCCCCCCCCCCCCCCCU